rnacentral:rRNA from 1 species
AACGUAGGUGGCAAGCGUUAUCCGGAUUUACUUGGGCGUAAAGCGUGUGCAGGCGGUCUUAUAAGUGGUGUAUGAAAUCUCCGCGCUUAACGUGGGAGGGGUUAUGCCAGGACUGUAGGACUUGAACCCAUCAGAGGGACGUGGAAUUCCGGGUGUAGUGGUGAAAUGCGUAGAUAUCAGGAGGAAUACCGGUGGCGAAGGCGGCCUUCUGGACGAUGACUGACGCUGAGACGCGAAAGCUAGGGGAGCAAACGGG